GAUUAACGCUGGCGGCGUGCAUAACACAUGCAAGUCGAACGAUGAAACUUAAAUGAUUUCUUCGGAAUGAACUUAAGUGGAUUAGUGGCGGACGGGUGAGUAACGCGUGAGUAACCUGCCUUACACAAGGGGAUAGCCGUUGGAAACGACGAAUAAUACCCUAUGAAACUAUCACUUCGCAUGAAGCGAUAGUCAAAGUGUUAGCGGUGUAAGAUGGACUUGCGUCUGAUUAGCUAGUUGGUGAGAAAAAAGCCCACCAAGGCAACGAUCAGUAGCCGGCUUGAGAGAGUGUACGGGCACAUUGGGACUGAGACACGGCCCAGACUCCUACGGGAGGCAGCAGUGGGGAAUGUUGCACAAUGGGGGAAACCCUGAUGCAGCGACGCCGCGUGAUUUAGAAGGCCUUCGGGUUGUAAAAAGCUUUUGUAUAGGAAGAAAAUGACAGUACUAUACGAAUAAGGUCCGGCUAAUUACGUG
rnacentral:rRNA from 1 species